CGGGUCAGGCCUGGGAAAACGACGCCGUUUUGAAAUUGUUAUUUAAAACAAUUUUUCUUUCAAAAAUCAUUUUAAAAGAAUGAAAGAAAAAAAAACAAAAAAAAACCCCUUUUUGCUCUGCUAGGGUUUCACCCUAGCGUCCUCGCGCCGCCGCUCGCCUGCCUACGGCCUCCGUCGACGGAGAAGACGCCGGCCCGUCGACUCCGGUGACGAGGUAUCGUGGCUGUUGAGUGCGUGCGGCACGCGUGGAGCAGGAAGCGGGAUGUGCGGGAGCAACUGGCGCGAUGUGCGACGCUUGCAGAGGGGCGAUUGCAGCUUGUGGCGACGGCAGGGAAGCUGCUUAGGGUUUCUGCUAACUGUUUUAGGUGUAUUGGGCUAGGGUUUAUGUUGGGUAGUGUAUUGGGUCAAUUGGGCCAUAACAAAAUUGGACUGAAACAUUAAGCCAUUGUUUCUGUUUGGUUUUUAUUCAUUUAACGGGCCGGGCAGAAAUUGGGCCCUACAAUAUGGUAACGUAAACAGUGACAGGCAUUAAACAAUUUUAUAUUGGACUUUUGUUUCUUAUUUCUAUCA